rnacentral:rRNA from 1 species
UACGUAGGGUGCAAGCGUUGUCCGGAAUUAUUGGGCGUAAAGAGCUCGUAGGCGGUUCGUCGCGUCGGCUGUGAAAUCCCGAGGCUCAACCUCGGGUCUGCAGUCGAUACGGGCAGGCUAGAGUUCGGUAGGGGAGACUGGAAUUCCUGGUGUAGCGGUGAAAUGUGCAGAUAUCAGGAGGAACACCGGUGGCGAAGGCGGGUCUCUGGGCCGAUACUGACGCUGAGGAGCGAAAGCGUGGGGAGCGAACAGGAUUAG